rfam:Triticum aestivum genome assembly, contig: Triticum_aestivum_CS42_TGACv1_scaffold_423772_5BS
UUCAUAUUCCCUCUGUUCGGAAUUACUUGUCGCAGAAAUGGAUGUAUCUAGACGUAUUUUAGUUGUAGAUACAUCCAUUUUCGAGACAAGUAAUUUCAAAUAGAGGGAGUACCUA